GCGGCGCAAGGGAGAGUAACGCGUGGAUAUCUGCCCUCGGCUCCAGAAUAGCUACGGGAAACUGUAGGUAAUGCUGGAUAAUAUCUCCGGAUCAAAGGUGUGAUUCCGGCCGAGGAUGAGUCCGCGUCCUAUUAGAUUGUUGGUGGGGUAAUGGCCUACCAAGUCGAAGAUGGGUACCGGGUGUGAGAGCAUGGCCCGGCUCACUGGGACUGAGACACUGCCCAGACGUCUACGGACGGCUGCAGUCGAGAAUCUUCCGCAAUGGGCGCAAGCCUGACGGAGCGACGCCGCGUGCGGGAUGAAGGCCUUCGGGUUGUAAACCGCUGUCAGUUGGGAGGAAAUGCUAUGGGGUUCUCUCCAUAGUUUGACCGAUCUUCAGAGGAAGUACGGGCUAAGUACGUGCCAGCAGCCGCGGUAACACGUACCGUACGAACGUUAUUCGGAAUCACUGGGCUUAAAGAGUCCGUAGGCGGCUAUGUAGGUCAGGUGUGAAAUCCCACGGCUCAACCGUGGAACUGCGCUUGAAACCAUAUGGCUAGAGGGAGAUAGAGGAAAGCGGAACUGAUGGUGGAGCGGUGAAAUGCGUUGAUAUCAUCAGGAACACCGGUGGCGAAAGCGGCUUUCUGGGUCUCUUCUGACGCUGAGGGACGAAAGCUAGGGGAGCGAACGGGAUUAGAUACCCCGGUAGUCCUAGCUGUAAACGAUGAG
rnacentral:rRNA from 1 species